UGCGAGUCGAACGAACUCUUCGGAGUUAGUGGCGGACGGGUGAGUAACACGUGGGAACGUGCCUUUAGGUUCGGAAUAACUCAGGGAAACUUGUGCUAAUACCGAAUGUGCCCUUCGGGGGAAAGAUUUAUCGCCUUUAGAGGGGCCCGCGUCUGAUUAGCUAGUUGGGGAGGUAAAGGCUCACCAAGGGGACGAUCAGUAGCUGGUCUGAGAGGAUGAUCAGCCACAUUGGGACUGAGACACGGCCCAAACUCCUACGGGAGGCAGCAGUGGGGAAUCUUGCGCAAUGGGCGAAAGCCUGACGCAGCCAUGCCGCGUGAAUGAUGAAGGUCUUAGGAUUGUAAAAUUCUUUCACCGGGGACGAUAAUGACGGUACCCGGAGAAGAAGCCCCGGCUAACUUCGUGCCAGCAGCCGCGGUAAUACGAAGGGGGCUAGCGUUGCUCGGAAUUACUGGGCGUAAAGGGAGCGUAGGCGGACAUUUAAGUCAGGGGUGAAAUCCCGGGGCUCAACCUCGGAAUUGCCUUUGAUACUGGGUGUCUUGAGUAUGAGAGAGGUGUGUGGAACUCCGAGUGUAGAGGUGAAAUUCGUAGAUAUUCGGAAGAACACCAGUGGCGAAGGCGACACACUGGCUCAUUACUGACGCUGAGGCUCG
rnacentral:rRNA from 1 species